CCAUCCCUACGGGGGCAGCAGUAGGGAAUUUUCGUCAAUGGACGCAAGCCUGAACGAGCGAUGCCGCGUGAGUGAAGAAGGCCUUCGGGUCGUAAAGCUCUGUUGCGGGGGAAAAAAGGCAGCAUCAGGAAAUGGGUGCUGACCGAUGGUGCCCCGCCAGAAAGUCACGGCUAACUACGUGCCAGCAGCCGCGGUAAUACGUAGGUGGCGAGCGUUAUCCGGAAUGAUUGGGCGUAAAGGGUGCGCAGGCGGUCCUGCAAGUCUGAAGUGAAACGCAUAAG
rnacentral:rRNA from 1 species